UCUAGCGAGCCCACCUCCCACCCGUGUUUACUGUACCUUAGUUGCUUCGGCGGGCCCGCCAUUCAUGGCCGCCGGGGGCUCUCAGCCCCGGGCCCGCGCCCGCCGGAGACACCACGAACUCUGUCUGAUCUAGUGAAGUCUGAGUUGAUUGUAUCGCAAUCAGUUAAAACUUUCAACAAUGGAUCUCUUGGUUCCGGCAUCGAUGAAGAACGCAGCGAAAUGCGAUAACUAGUGUGAAUUGCAGAAUUCCGUGAAUCAUCGAGUCUUUGAACGCACAUUGCGCCCCCUGGUAUUCCGGGGGGCAUGCCUGUCCGAGCGUCAUUGCUGCCCAUCAAGCACGGCUUGUGUGUUGGGUCGUCGUCCCCUCUCCGGGGGGGACGGGCCCCAAAGGCAGCGGCGGCACCGCGUCCGAUCCUCGAGCGUAUGGGGCUUUGUCACCCGCUCUGUAGGCCCGGCCGGCGCUUGCCGAACGCAAAUCAAUCUUUUUCCAGGUUGACCUCGGAUCAGGUAGGGAUACCCGCUGAACUUAAGCAUAUCAAUAAGC
rnacentral:rRNA from 1 species